rnacentral:rRNA from 1 species
AUGAACGCUGGCGACGUGCCUAAUACAUGCAAGUCGAGCGAACAGAUGAGGAGCUUGCUCCUCUGACGUUAGCGGCGGACGGGUGAGUAACACGUGGAUAACCUACCUAUAAGACUGGGAUAACUUCGGGAAACCGGAGCUAAUACCGGAUAAUAUAUUGAACCGCAUGGUUCAAUAGUGAAAGACGGUUUUGCUGUCACUUAUAGAUGGAUCCGCGCCGCAUUAGCUAGUUGGUAAGGUAACGGCUUACCAAGGCAACGAUGCGUAGCCGACCUGAGAGGGUGAUCGGCCACACUGGAACUGAGACACGGUCCAGACUCCUACGGGAGGCAGCAGUAGGGAAUCUUCCGCAAUGGGCGAAAGCCUGACGGAGCAACGCCGCGUGAGUGAUGAAGGUCUUCGGAUCGUAAAACUCUGUUAUUAGGGAAGAACAAAUGUGUAAGUAACUAUGCACGUCUUGACGGUACCUAAUCAGAAAGCCACGGCUAACUACGUG